rnacentral:rRNA from 1 species
UACGUAGGGUGCGAGCGUUGUCCGGAAUUAUUGGGCGUAAAGGGCUCGUAGGCGGUCUGUCACGUCGAAAGUGAAAACUCAGGGCUUAACCCUGAGCCUGCUUCCGAUACGGGCAGACUAGAGGUAUGCAGGGGAGAAUGGAAUUCCUGGUGUAGCGGUGAAAUGCGCAGAUAUCAGGAGGAACACCGGUGGCGAAGGGGGGUCUCUGGGCCGUUACUGACGCUGAGGAGCGAAAGCGUGGGGAGCGAACAGG